UACAGAGGUCCCAAGCGUUGUUCGGAUUCACUGGGCGUAAAGGGUGCGUAGGCGGUCGGGUAAGUCUGAUGUGAAAUCUCCAAGCCUAACUUGGAAACUGCAUUGGAUACUAUCCGGCUUGAGGAAUGGAGGGGAGACUGGAAUACUUGGUGUAGCAGUGAAAUGCGUAGAUAUCAAGUGGAACACCAGUGGCGAAGGCGAGUCUCUGGACAUUUCCUGACGCUGAGGCACGAAAGCCAGGGGAGCAAACGGG
rnacentral:rRNA from 1 species